GAUGAACGCUGGCGGCGUGCCUAAUACAUGCAAGUCGAGCGAACAGACGAGGAGCUUGCUCCUCUGACGUUAGCGGCGGACGUGUGAGUCACACGUGGAUAACCUACCUAUAAGACUGGUAUAUCUUCGGGAAACCGGAUCUAAUACCGUAUAAUAUAUUGAUCCGUAUGGUUCAUUAGUGAAUGACGGUUUUUCUGGAUCUUAUAGAUGUAUAUGCGCCGGAUUAGCUGGUUGUUAAGGUAACGGCUUACCAAGGCAACGAUGCGUAGCCGAAGUGACGGGGUGAUCGCCGACACUGGAAGUGAGACACGGACCAGACUCCUACGGGAGGCCGCAGUAGGGAACGUGACGCAAUGGGCGAAAGUCUUGCGGAACAACGGCAAGCGAGUGAUGAAGGUCUUCGGAGCGGAAAACCCUGUUAUUAGGGAAAAACCAAUGUGUAAGUAACUAUGAAGGUCUUGACGGUACCUAGUCAGAAAGCAACGGCUAACUACGUG
rnacentral:rRNA from 1 species